rnacentral:rRNA from 1 species
AUUGAACGCUGGCGGCAGGCCUAACACAUGCAAGUCGAGCGGAUGAAGGGAGCUUGCUCCUGGAUUCAGCGGCGGACGGGUGAGUAAUGCCUAGGAAUCUGCCUGGUAGUGGGGGAUAACGUCCGGAAACGGGCGCUAAUACCGCAUACGUCCUGAGGGAGAAAGUGGGGGAUCUUCGGACCUCACGCUAUCAGAUGAGCCUAGGUCGGAUUAGCUAGUUGGUGGGGUAAAGGCCUACCAAGGCGACGAUCCGUAACUGGUCUGAGAGGAUGAUCAGUCAAUCGGGAAGUGGAACACGGUCCAAACCCCCAGGGGAGGCAGCAGGGGGGAAUAUUGGAAAAGGGGCGAAACCCUGAACCAGCCAUGCCGGGGGGGUGAAGAAGGUUUUCGGAUUGUAAAGCAUUUUAAUUUGGGAGGAGGGGAAGUAAGUUAAUCCCUUGCUUUUUUGACGUUACCAACAGAAUAAGCACCGGCUAACUUCGU